AUUGAACGCUGGCGGCAGGCCUAACACAUGCAAGUCGAACGGUAACAGGAAGAAGCUUGCUUCUUUGCUGACGAGUGGCGGGCGGGUGAGUAAUGUCUGGGAAAGUGCCUGAUGGAGGGGGAUAACUACUGGAAACGGUAACUAAUACCGCAUAACGUCGGAAGACCAAAGAGGUGGGCCUUCCGGCCUCUUGCCAUCGGCUGUGCCCAGAUGGGAUUAGCUAGUAGGUGGGGUAACGGCUCACCUAGGCGACGAUCCCUAGCUGGUCUGAGAGGAUGAACAGUCACACUGGAACUGAGACACGGUCCAGACUCCUACGGGAGGCAGCAGUGGGGAAUAUUGCACAAUGGGCGCAAGCCUGAUGCAGCCAUGCCGCGUGUAUGAAGAAGGCCUUCGGGUUGUAAAGUACUUUCAGCGGGGAGGAAGGGAGUAAAGUUAAUACCUUUGCUCAUUGACGUUACCCGCAGAAGAAGCACCGGCUAACUCCGUG
rnacentral:rRNA from 1 species